rnacentral:rRNA from 1 species
GACGAACGCUGGCGGCGUGCUUAACACAUGCAAGUCGAACGGAAAGGCCCUGCUUUUGUGGGGUGCUCGAGUGGCGAACGGGUGAGUAACACGUGAGUAACCUGCCCUUGACUUUGGGAUAACUUCAGGAAACUGGGGCUAAUACCGGAUAGGAGCUCCUGCUGCAUGGUGGGGGUUGGAAAGUUUCGGCGGUUGGGGAUGGACUCGCGGCUUAUCAGCUUGUUGGUGGGGUAGUGGCUUACCCAGGCUUUGACGGGUAGCCGGCCUGAGAGGGUGACCGGCCACAUUGGGACUGAGAUACGGCCCAGACUCCUACGGGAGGCAGCAGUGGGGAAUAUUGCACAAUGGGCGGGAGCCUGAUGCAGCAACGCCGCGUGCGGGAUGACGGCCUUCGGGUUGUAAACCGCUUUCGCCUGUGACGAAGCGUGAGUGACGGUAAUGGGUAAAGAAGCACCGGCUAACUACGUG